UGGGGAAUAUUGCACAAUGGGGGAAACCCUGAUGCAGCGACGCCGCGUGAAGGAAGAAGUAUCUCGGUAUGUAAACUUCUAUCAGCAGGGAAGAUAGUGACGGUACUGACUAAGAAGCCCCGGCUAACUACGUGCC
rnacentral:rRNA from 1 species